rnacentral:lncRNA from 1 species
CUGGGUUCUCUUGGGGCUAGGUGUCAAUCUUUCUCUAAAUCCUUUCUCCUAGUAGCUGAUUCCUUUGCUAUUAAGGAAAUCACAUAGCCUGAAUCACAACAAAGAUCAUUGCCUCUAUAUUCAGGGGAUGUGGAUUCAGAUUCUAUCUUUGGUACUUACAGUGUGUCCUUGGGUAAGUUAUUUAAAUUCUGUACCUCAGUUUCUUCAUCUGUAAAAUGAGAGGGUAGAACUAGAUGACUCCUUUACCCCUCCAGAAUAUGUUUCUGGGAAUAUGAGCUUUGGGAGGAGGGAGUCUUCUUCCAGCCUGGCUAAGCAGGGCCUGAAGUUGUGGCUAAGUUGAAAACAAAGAACCACUGCAGAAUUGGGGAAGCUGCUCAAUUCCAAUCAUUUUAGUUUCAGAUAAGACAAUGAGCCUGGUCAUUAUCACUGAGGGCUUGGGUCAAAGUUAACCAAUGAUCCCAAAAGAAAUGAGUUUCACACUCCUUAUCUGCUCAUGCUUUCUCUCUCUCUCUCUCUCUCUCUCUCUCUCUCUCUCUCUCUCUCUCUCUCUCUCUCUCUCUCUCUCUCUCCUCUCUCUCUCUCUCUCUCUCUCUCCCCUCUCUCUCUCUCUCUCUCUCUCUCUCUCUCUCUCUAUCUCUCUCUCUUUCUCUCUCUCUUUUCUUUCUUUCUUUCUUUCUUUCUUUCUUUCUUUCUUUCUUUCUUUCUUUCUUUCUUUCUUUCUUUCUUUCUUUCUUUCUUUCUUUCUUUCUUUCUUUCUUUCUUUCUUUCUUUCUUUCUUUCCUUCUUUCUUUCUUUCUUUCUUUCUUUCUUUCUUUCUUUCUUUCUUUCUUUCUUUCUUUCUUUCUUUCUUUCUUUCUUUCUUUCUUUCUUUCUUUCUUUCUUUCUUUCUUUCCUCUCCCUCUCUCCCUCCCUCCCUUCCUUCUUUCUCUCUCUUUCUUCCUUCCCCCUCUUCCUUUUUCUCCUUCUUUUUCCCUUUCUUUUUCCUUCCUCCCUCUUUCUCUCUCUUUCUUUCUUUUCCUUUCUUCCCUCCUUUUCUCUCUUCCUUCCUUUUUUUCCCUUCCUCCCCCUUUCUUUCCCAUGUCUUACUUUCUGUCCUAAAAUCAAUGCUAAGUACAGGUUCUAAGGCAGAAUUGUGGUAAGGGCUAGGCAAUGGGGGUUAAGUGACUUGCCCAGGGUCACACAGCUGGAAGUGUUCAGACCUUCCAUCUCCAGGCCUGACUCUCUAUCCACUGAACCACCUAGCUGUCCCAUGCUUCUUUCUAGAAGCCUUUCUUGAUGUCUCCAGUUAGCAUUGACCUUCUCCACUCCCAAUCUCACCUUGGGUAUAACACAAGGUUUCACUUGUUUCUCUUGGUUACUUGGCAAGUAGCAGCAUGGUGGAAAAUAUGCUAGACUAGACUUGAAGUUGGUAAAAUGUGGCUGGGCUUGAGUCCUUCUAUCACUGAUAUCU